CCUACGGGUGGCUGCAGUGGGGAAUAUUGGACAAUGGGGGCAACCCUGAUCCAGCCAUGCCGCGUGUGUGAAGAAGGCCCUCGGGUUGUAAAGCACUUUCAGUGAGGAAGAACGCCUGGUGGUGAAUAUCCAUCAGGAAAGACAUCACUCACAGAAGAAGCACCGGCUAACUCCGUGCCAGCAGCCGCGGUAAUACGGAGGGUGCGAGCGUUAAUCGGAAUUACUGGGCGUAAAGCGCGCGUAGGUGGCUUGAUAAGCCGGUUGUGAAAGCCCCGGGCUCAACCUGGGAACGGCAUCCGGAACUGUCAAGCUAGAGUGCAGGAGAGGAAGGUGGAAUUCCCGGUGUAGCGGUGAAAUGCGUAGAGAUCGGGAGGAAUACCAGUGGCGAAGGCGGCCUUCUGGACUGAAACUGACACUGAGGUGCGAAAGCGUGGGUAGCAAACAGGAUUAGAUACCCGUGUAGUC
rnacentral:rRNA from 1 species